UACGUAGGGUGCGAGCGUUAAUCGGAAUUACUGGGCGUAAAGCGUGCGCAGGCGGUUUUGUAAGCCAGAUGUGAAAUCCCCGGGCUUAACCUGGGAAUGGCAUUUGGGACUGCAAGGCUUGAGUGCGGCAGAGGAGACUGGAAUUCCUGGUGUAGCAGUGAAAUGCGUAGAUAUGCGGAGGAACACCGAUGGCGAAGGCAAUCCCCUGGGCCAUUUCUGACGCUCAGGCGCGACAGCGUGGGGAUCAAACAGG
rnacentral:rRNA from 1 species